GCAGAACGCGAAGAACCUUACCAACCCUUGACAUGCCUGUCAUACCCUCGAGAGAUCGGGGGGUCAGUUCGGCUGGACAGGACACAGGUGCUGCAUGGCUGUCGUCAGCUCGUGUCGUGAGAUGUUCGGUUAAGUCCGGCAACGAGCGCAACCCACGUCCUUAGUUGCCAGCAUUCAGUUGGGCACUCUAGGGAAACUGCCGAUGAUAAGUCGGAGGAAGGUGUGGAUGACGUCAAGUCCUCAUGGCCCUUACGGGUUGGGCUACACACGUGCUACAAUGGCAGUGACAAUGGGUUAAUCCCAAAAAGCUGUCUCAGUUCGGAUUGGGGUCUGCAACUCGACCCCAUGAAGUCGGAAUCGCUAGUAAUCGCGUAACAGCAUGACGCGGUGAAUACGUUCCCGGGUCUUGUACACACCG
rnacentral:rRNA from 1 species